AUGCCAACAAAACAAAAUGUAGCCAUCAGCUGUUUACACAUACCAGAUAUAUGCUAUUAUUGUAACAAUCAACAUUUUAUAAAAAUAAAAAAAAAUAUAUUAGAUGAUUUUUUUUUUGAUAUAUAUAAUGAUUAUACUAUAUUUGAACAUAUUUAUAAUUAUAUUUUUAAUUUAAGUGAAAAUUUAAACAUUUUUGAAAUUUUAACAAAAAUCUUGGAAAUAAACAAAAUUAUAAAUAAACAAAACAAAGGAGGACAAACAGAGCAUUUAAAAAUAUCGGAAAAGGAAAAAGAACAAACUCCAUUUCGAUUAAUAGGUGUAGUAAAUUUUAUUCGUGGUAUGAACCGAAUGCGAAAUAAAACAAAAGUAAAUGAGUUAAAAAACAAAAAUAAGCAAAGCGAAGAAGAUAAAAAAAAACAGCAUGAUAUAAACAAUACAGAAAUGAGAAAAGAAUUGUUAUCUACAAAUAAUUUUUCAGAAUAUUCGAACACAGUUGGUGAAGUGUGUAAUAGUACGACUUCUUUUACCGCUACUAAUAAUAAUAAGCAACAUCAAAAUAAUAAUAUUAAUUAUAAAUUAAAUGAAAAUACAAACAGUAUAUAUGAUUUAAAAAAAUGUUUCAGUUCUCAAGAGCAAGAAAAGGAAAAAGAAAAGGAAAAAGAAAAGGAAAAAGAAAAGGAANNNNNNNNNNAAGAAAAGGAAAAAGAAAAGGAAAAAGAAAAGGAAAAAGAAAAGGAACAAGAGUAUAUGCACAUGCACAUGCACAACCAUGACGACAAUAAGAAAAAAAAUAAAAUGCUGAUCCGUUCAUAUUUAAAUGAAAAUAUAAAUACAAAAAAGACAAACAUAAAUAUUGAAAAUGAUGAUAUAUAUAUGUACAGUAAUACAAAAAAAGGAUAUUUACAUAAAAAUACAAAUAAUUAUACAAAUUACAAUAAUGAAAAGUUAAUACAUUGUAAUAGUGGUAGUAGUGGUAGUAGUGGCAACAGUGGCAACAGUCUCAAUAGUGGCUAUACAAAUAUUAACAAUUUAAAUGAAAAUAAAAUAGAAGAAUAUAAAAAUAUUAAUGAUGGAAUGUCAUAUAAUUAUAUAUUCAUAGACGGAAAAGUUUAUUUAAAAAAAUAUAUAAAAAAAUUACCAACAAUAACAAACAAUUUAAAAAAUAUAAACAAUAACUCAAACGAAAUAGAUACGUAUAACAUUUAUUCAUAUAUUGAUGUAAUAUGUUAUAACAGUUUGUUUUCUUUUUGUAGUACAAAUAAUAAUAUUGAUAAUAAUUUGAAUAAGAAAAAAUGUAAUAAUAUGAAUAAAAUUUAUAACUGUUUUAUAAACUUUAUUUAUCAACCUUUAAUUCCUCACAAUAUAAGGUCAAACAACAUUAUAAGUAAUUUUAUAGAGUAUGUAAAAUAUUAUAAAAAUAUGAAAAACAGAUAUACACAAAAAAAUAAAAUAAAUAAAAAUGAUAAUAAUAUUAUUAAUGAAAUGAUUAAUGGAAACUUUGAUACUAUUACAGAUCCGAAUCUUUAUUUAAAUUGUAAUAAAUUAAAUUUUGGUUUUUUUUUUAAUUCACCCUAUUUACCUUUUAAUAAAUCCAGAAGUGGUAAUUUUCAAAAUGUUUUUAUGAACCGUUCAGGUAAUACUACUAAAAAAAUUAGCUCAUAUAAUGUUAAUGGUUUGAAUUUAUAUCCAACUGAUAGCGAAAAUGAUAGUAAUAUGGUAACAACUAAGGAACGUAGUUUUAUAAAUCAGGUCCCCUCAUCUAGUAUGGAUAUAUUACUACAUAGUCCAAUACAGGGUCCAAUACAGGGU
rnacentral:lncRNA from 1 species